rnacentral:rRNA from 1 species
GUGGGGAAUAUUGGACAAUGGGCGAAAGCCUGAUCCAGCCAUGCCGCGUGUGUGAAGAAGGUCUUCGGAUUGUAAAGCACUUUAAGUUGGGAGGAAGGGCAGUAAGUUAAUACCUUGCUGUUUUGACGUUACCGACAGAAUAAGCACCGGCUAACUUCGUGCCAGCAGCCGCGGUAAUACGAAGGGUGCAAGCGUUAAUCGGAAUUACUGGGCGUAAAGCGCGCGUAAGUGGUUUUGUAAGUUGGAGGUGAAAUCCCCGGGCUCAACCUGGGAACUGCCUCCAAAACUGCAUGACUAGAGUACGGUAGAGGGUAGUGGAAUUUCCUGUGUAGCGGUGAAAUGCGUAGAUAUAGGAAGGAACACCAGUGGCGAAGGCGACUACCUGGACUGAUACUGACACUGAGGUGCGAAAGCGUGGGGAGCAAACAGGAUUAGAAACCCUGGUAGUCC